GAAAAUUAGUUACCAAGUCUCUUAUUCCUUUUGGAAAACAUACUUGGUCAUCUCAAUUCAUCAUCUGAAAACUCAUCCAGGACUAUUUUGUGGACAUUCAUACUUUGCUCAUCGGCAUCUCUCCACCCUUGAGGAAUGACGCCCUCGGUGUUGUGGUCCAAGAACUUUUCCGCCCUGAACAGAAAAACUAUGGAAGCAAGGCAACCAUAUUGUCUUAAAAAAUGACAACCAUUGUGUGGCUGUUGUUGCUAAAAGCUGGAGUUGAGCAAACUCUAUCAAACUGAAUAGCCAAGAAGAUUAUACAUGGCAACAGAGAAUUGUGCAAAAUAUUGGAUGGAAGCAUCCUGAUGCUAAUUGGAUUAAGUUAAACACAAAUGGUGCAGUAAAGAUGAACCUGACAAAGGCUUAUUCAAGC
rnacentral:lncRNA from 1 species